ensembl:snRNA U6 U6 spliceosomal RNA
GUGCUCACUUCAGCACAUAUGCUGUAGUUGGAAUGAUGCAGAUUGCCAUGGCCUCUGCACAGGAUGACACACAGAGUUGGGAAGUGUUCCAUAUUUUU